CAGAGUUUAUCCCCACUGAUGUUAGAAUAGCCGAAACGAGCAUUUCAGCAGACCAAUCUCAAAACCUCGAGAAAGACGAACGAACUCGUGCUGUUUGGAUUCUGCUGCAGCAGCAGCUGCUUGAAACAGAAGCAAAACGUUCUUCUGAGUAAAGAA